GAUGAACGCUGGCGGCGUGCCUAAUACAUGCAAGUCGAGCGAACGGACGAGAAGCUUGCUUCUCUGACGUUAGCGGCGGACGGGCGAGUAACACGUGGAUAAUCCACCUAUAAGACUGGGAUAAUUUCGGGAAACCGGAGCUAAUACCGGACGAUAUUUUGAAUCGCAUGGUUCAUAAGUGAAAGACGGUCUUGCUGUCACUUAUAGAUGGAUCCGCGCUGCAUUAGCUAGUUGGUAAGGUAACGGCUUACUAAGGCGACGAUGCAUAGCCGACCUGAGAGGGUGGUCGGCCGCACUGGAUCUGAGGCACGGUCCAGACUCCUGCGGGAGGCCGCAGUCCGGAAUCUUCCGCAAUGGGCGCGAGCCUGACGGAGCAACACCGCGUGCGUGAUAACAGUCUUCCGAUCGUAAUCCUCUGUUAUGGGGGGGGAACAUCUGUGUACGUUACUGUGCACGUCGUGACGGUACCUAAUCAGAAAGCCACGGCUAACUACGUG
rnacentral:rRNA from 1 species